UGGGGGUGGAGGGUAGAGGACAGGCCCCGCCCCACGCCGAGUUCAUACCUUACGUACCCAAUGGGAUGGCCCGAGGGGCUUGCGUGUGCUGGGUCCGCCCACAGGCUCCUUUUCGGUCUGCCUCCUGGGCGUGGAAACUGCCAGAGUCCGGAAGCGAAUUGGUGUCUGCUUGUUGUAAAGUUCUGGAUCGUUUCCCUAACCUACUCCAAUGUGUUGAUACCGUUGUCAUGGCAACAGGGUGUUUCUCUUAGAAUUCUCUCGCCCGGAACCAAAAUGCAAGUCAUCGAAAUAGUCAUCGCUUUGGAGAGCAAGAAUUGGCUGUGUAUACUAGGGGGUGGUUGGAUUUGGAGCCUCAUAGCCUAGUCCUUUAAUACCCUGGAGAAGUGACUUUUUUCACUCUGCCUCCGUUCUUUCCUUUGUUAUGUUUGAAAAAUAUAGUAGUGCCUAUCUCACAGGUUAUCAGUUAGUGUACAUAAAUCCCCUAGCAAAAGUUCAAAUGUAAAGUAAGCAUUUAAUAAAUGUUGGCUCUUUCUAUUCCACCCUCUAUUGCUAGCACACAGUGCCUGUAAGCAAUAGACAAAUAUUUGUGGAGUUAAUGAAUGUUAGAAAUACAGGUGAGGAAUCAGGCCAGGACACAGGACAAGGGUUGCUUUCAAAGGGCUAUGCAAUAAAUUAAAUGCAGAGGUGAGUGUAGAACUUAGGUCUAAUUAGGACUACAGAACCCUCCAAUAAAUGUAUAGUCUCUUGAAGUGCUUUUUUUUUCUUUUUCUUUUUUUUUUUUUUUUUUUUUUUGGAGCUGGUGCUGUCAGUCACACCUGUAAUCCCACCACUAGGGAGACCGAGUCAGAAGGACUGAAAGUUAAAGGCUAGCCUUAUAGCUUUUCAAAAUGUACUAUCACUAGAUUUGGUUCAGGUAACCCUGAGUUGGGCCUGAGUUCUUGGAAACACACACAUUUGAGUGGUGACUAGCAAUGAUAUAAGUACAGUGAACAGUUCAAGAAAUACUGUAAUGACAUCAGGGUUGCAGGAAAUUAUUCUGUAUUACUGAAAAGUUUUGUUACUCUUUUUUUGGGGGGAGGGCAUGUUUGUGUUUAAGGUAAAGAAGUUCACAAUUUUUAGGAGUUUCUGUUUGUUUGUUUGUUUGUUUUUUGAGACAUGGUUUCUCUGUGUAGCUUUGGCUAUCCUGGACUCACUCUGUAGACCAGGCUGGCCUCAAACUCACAGUGAUCCACCUGCCUCUGCCUCCCUGAGUGCUGGGAUCACAGCCACUGCCCCUGGUUCACAACUUUAAUUUGCAUGUUAAGGGCCUUUUCUUUUUCCUCUUCUUUGCAGGCAUCCAAUUCAUCCAUAUCCUAAAACAAAAACAAAACAACGCCCCCCCCCCCCUGCAGUCUUUCACCUAUGGCCCACAUCUUCAUCAAUAUUCAUCUUUUCCUUUAGCAUCUGAAGAGUCACUUUCUCUUCCUUCUGUUUCUCCAUGCCAUGUGAAAGGCAUGACACUGAAGAGGCUGCCAGAAUACUUUCUUUCAGUCUCUUCAGUAAUUCCUUCUCAGUGGGCAUUGUGUCUGUUAAUGCCUUUCCUCCCUCCUCUCUCUCUCUCUCUCCCUCCUUCUUAUUCAGAGGGCCAGCUGUCUUCCAUUACAGUGAAAGUUUUCUAAUUUGAAUUAAGUACUGGGUCAUCUUGCCAAAUAUCUACUUAAAAUUGUGUUGAAUGGAGCAGGGCCAGUAAAUUCAAUUUUCAUCUAUUCCUUCCAGUGCUUUCUUACAGUUGUUUUUACUAAACCAGAUUCAUUCCCAGAGAUGGCUAGGAAAAGUUACUCAUUCUAUAACCUUUUUAUAUGGACAGCGCUGUCCUUUCUCUUCUUUGAUGAUAGCAUACUAUUUGUCAGGGGACAAGAAUGAUCAAUUUCAGUGUCCAAUUGGAAUGCGUCCAUUUCUGCAAAAGCGUUUAGUGUUGGUUCUUAUUUUUCUCUCUAUGUGAUUAUGUUUAAUUAAAUGCUAUAUGAGAAAUGAAAAGAAACAUAAGGAGCUGCAAAAGCAUGCAACCUCACAAAGAGUGACGCAAUUGAGGUUUCCUUUGUAGACUGAUAGUGGAGUUUCCAUACUGAUGGGAAGUUAAAAAACAGAUUUAGGGCACAUUAUCUACUGCUGAUCUCCUAGCCAGGUCGUAUAGGUGAGAAGCUAUCAGUGAGUGUCUAAAAUUAACAAACACACAGGUUUACAAAGCAGUCCUAAGACCAAGACUCUCAAAUAAUACUGAAGUUUUUUCUUGAGACUCCCAUCUUAUGAUCUUUCAACAAACUCAUUUAAUAAUGCUGGAUAAUUUAAAUUUAAAUAUGCUGCAUAAUUUCUUUUUCGGAAGAAUUCUGGUUUUUUUUUUUUCUCUUUUUCUUUUUCUUAUUUUAACUUCAAGUAAGUUUUAAGCCAGGGAGUGGUGGUGGCAUACAUCUUUAAUCCUACCACUCUAGAGGCAGAGGCAGGCAGAUCCCUGUGAGUUUAAGGCCAGUCUGGUCUACAGAGCGAGUUCCAGGAUAGUCAGGGCUGUUACACAGAAAAACCCUGUUUCAAAAACAAAACAAACAAACAAACAAACAACAACCCCCCAAACCCAAAACAAAAAAAGAUUAGUUUUACUGAAUUUUUAUUUGUCAAACUUUUCCACUUUGUACAAGUCUUAUUCAACUAAAAGGACUACAAGGCCAAGGCCUUGUACAAGAUCACCAACAGGUGAAAUCACUGUUUGCUUACAACCAGGUUUGAUUCUUUUUUUUCCCCGCCCAGACAGGGUAUCUCUCUGUAGCUCUGGCUGUCCUGGAACUCAGUCUGUAGACCAGGCUGGCCUCGAACUCACCGAGAUUUGCCUGCCUCUGCUUCCUGAGUGCUGGCAUUAAAGGAGUGUACCACUACCACCCCAUCCAGCUUGGUUCUUAUUUUUAAGGAACAAAAUUGCUUGUUUCAUACUGUGCUCUGAACAGCAUCACUGGCUGCAUGGUGCCAGGAGUUCAGCAUGCACUGCUGGUAGGAUCAGGCCUAAGCCUUGUUUUUCUCACUUUGUUUGUGUAAGAUCCAAAUUCACAUGAACAGCUUUGCUUUAAAACUUUGAACUAAAUGCCUGUGAAGUUUAAACUUGAUUGUUAACUUGACAGGACUGAGAAAGACUCUAGGCAAUUAGUACAGCACAUGUAUGUGUAUGGGGCGGGUGUAGAAUAAGGAGGAGGGCGAGAAGCAGGAGAGAGACAGAGACAGAGAGAGACAGACAGGAGAGAGAAAUUUCCAGAGAAGACUAAGGAGGCUAGGCAUACCUCUAGAUGUGGGUUGUGCCAUUCAUUGCAUAGGCUGUGGUCCUAGGUAACUAAUAUGUGCAAGGCCCUGAGUUCAGUCCCCAGUUCUGUCAAGAAAAAUAGUGGUGAUUAGCUUGGCAGAAUGUAAUUACUGAAGAUGAGUCAUGUAUACUUUGAACUUUACAUUACUAUCUAUGUUUCUAUGUAUGUUUUAAAAAAUAUUCAUGGAGCUGAGAAGAUGGUGAUGACCAACCUGCACCAUAUCUGAGGGGCAGAAGAUCCAAAACUCCAAACUGGAAGAAAAAUGGAAAUAUCAAGUUCUCAGUGAUACCAGCUGAAGAGCAACCAGGAACAGCAAGGCGGAAGCAGGAGCAGGAUUGUUCUUUCUUGGAGCUCCACAUUCUCUGCGCUCUGGCAUUCAUUUUUUCUUCAGAGUCUUCAAAUUUAAACUAUCUGCAGCUGGCAAAGAGCUCCUCUUAGCGCCCACAUAAGGCAAAUACUCUGCUGCUUUGGACCAUCUGAAUCAGUCUCACAUCCCACCCCUGGGACCAAAGCAAAAACAUGUUUAUAUCCACAACACUACUCCUUCUUGAAGAUCUGCAGGCAGGUAAUAGUUGCUGAGAGAGAGAGAGAGUCAUGUUCUUCAAUGGUGUGGCCAUAGGUAAUAUGCCCACGGACCUGUAUAUUAUCUCCCACCCACACUCAUGAAAGCAAUCCUAACAGAACUCUUCGUGUCACAAAAAAAUGCUUGAAAA